GAUGAACGCUAGCUACAGGCUUAACACAUGCAAGUCGAGGGGAAACGAUAGAGAAAGCUUGCUUUUUCUAGGCGUCGACCGGCGCACGGGUGAGUAACGCGUAUCCAACCUGCCCAUCACUUGAGGAUAACCUUGCGAAAGUAAGACUAAUACCCAAUGACGUCUCUAGAAGACAUCUGAAAGGGAUUAAAGAUUUAUCGGUGAUGGAUGGGGAUGCGUCUGAUUAGCUUGUUGGCGGGGUAACGGCCCACCAAGGCGACGAUCAGUAGGGGUUCUGAGAGGAAGGUCCCCCACAUUGGAACUGAGACACGGUCCAAACUCCUACGGGAGGCAGCAGUGAGGAAUAUUGGUCAAUGGGCGAGAGUCUGAACCAGCCAAGUAGCGUGCAGGAUGACGGCCCUAUGGGUUGUAAACUGCUUUUAUAAGGGAAUAAAGUGAGAGUCGUGACUCUUUUUGCAUGUACCUUAUGAAUAAGGACCGGCUAAUUCCGUGCCAGCCGCCGCAGUAA
rnacentral:rRNA from 1 species